UACGUAGGUGGCAAGCGUUGUUCGGAGUUACUGGGCGUAAAGGGCUCGUAGGCGGCCAACUAAGUCCGACGUGAAAUCCCCAGGCUUAACCUGGGAACUGCGUCGGAUACUGGAUGGCUUGAAUCCGGGAGAGGGAUGCGGAAUUCCAGGUGUAGCGGUGAAAUGCGUAGAUAUCUGGAGGAACACCGGUGGCGAAGGCGGCAUCCUGGACCGGCAUUGACGCUGAGGAGCGAAAGCCAGGGGAGCAAACGGG
rnacentral:rRNA from 1 species